CCUACGGGCGGCAGCAGUGAGGAAUAUUGGUCAAUGGGCGGGAGCCUGAACCAGCCAAGUCGCGUGAGGGACGACGGUCCUAUGGAUUGUAAACCUCUUUUGUCGGGGAACAAAGGCGCCCAUGGGUGGGCGGAUGAGUGUACCCGAAGAAAAAGCAUCGGCUAACACCGUGCCAGCGGCCGCGGUAAUACGGGGGAUGCGAGCGUUAUCCGGAUUUAUUGGGGUAAAAGGGUGCGUGGGCGGACGGUAAAGUCAGCGGUAAAAAUGCGGUGCUAAACGCCGUACAGCCGUUGAAACUGGCAGUCUUGAGUGCGCGAGAGGUAUGCGUAAUGCGUGGUGUAGCGGUGAAAUGCAUAGAUAUCACGCAGAACUCCGAUUGCGAAGGCAGAAUACCGGCGACCUACUGACGCUGAGGCACGAAAGCGUGGGUAUCGAACAGGAUUAGAUACCCCAGUAGUC
rnacentral:rRNA from 1 species